AUGUAUCUAUCAGAUCAUAGGCUGCGCCCCUGUACACUGUGGCUAGACAGGCUCUCUCCCUGAAUCCAAAACCAGGAUGGCAGCCGUUUCAGGGCCAGUGACAAAUCUUGAAUGUUCUUCGAAGAUCUUUACAAACCAGUGUGCUGCGGCCGUGUUCACUCCGUGAAGGAGUCUCCUGCCCCGUCGUCUGCGUCGUUUCUGUCCACAGCAAAGCCUCAGGCUGAGUCAGUAGGAAUGUAUCUCCCUCUAUUUAGUUAUCUCAUUAUCUUUACUCAUGGAUUGAUUAUUAACCCAGUAACAUCUUCUUCUGUUUGACAGAGAUUUUACUGGACUGCUGGAGGUCCAAGUAGAUCAUAUAUUGUAA